rnacentral:rRNA from 1 species
UACAGAGGGUGCAAGCGUUGUUCGGAAUUAUUGGGCGUAAAGCGCGUGUAGGCGGCUUUGCAAGUCGGGUGUGAAAGCCCUCAGCUCAACUGAGGAAGUGCGCCCGAAACUGCAGAGCUUGAGUACCGGAGAGGAUGGCGGAAUUCCCCAAGUAGAGGUGAAAUUCGUAGAUAUCGAGAGGAACACCUGUGGCGAAGGCGGCCUUCUGGACGGUGACUGACGCUGAGACGCGAAAGCGUGGGGAGCAAACAGG